rnacentral:rRNA from 1 species
AGUAACACGUGAGUAACCUGCCCUUGACUCUGGGAUAAGCGUUGGAAACGACGUCUAAUACCGGAUACGAGCUUCGGAGGCAUCUCCAGGAGCUGGAAAGAAUUUCGGUCAAGGAUGGACUCGCGGCCUAUCAGCUAGUUGGUGAGGUAACGGCCCACCAAGGCGACGACGGGUAGCCGGCCUGAGAGGGUGACCGGCCACACUGGGACUGAGACACGGCCCAGACUCC